AUGAGGGGGAGCAGGUGGCAGGUGCAUCUGCGGGGGGCGCGGCGCGUCCCGGCCCGGCCCUGGCGCUCCGCGUGGGGAAGGUGCGGCCGCAGAGCACCAGCUCCCCCCAGGCGCGGCGACCGAGGGCCGAGGACGCCGGGGAGCAGACGGACCCCCCCCUUCGCUCCAAUUUUUAGGAAGCGGAACAAAAGAAGGAAGAAAGAGAGCAGAGAGGAGAGAGGGGCAGAGAAGACAGAAAGGGAGGAGAGCAGGGAAGGGAAGGGACGGGACAGGACCCGAGAAGCCCAGCGCGGCGAGGCGGCGGCGGGCCGGGGGAGGAGGAGGGGGGAGGAGGGAGGAGGUGCCCCCCGCGCCCCCCGCGCCCCCGCGCCCCCGCGCCCCCGGCUCCCUUCCCGCCGACCUCGGGGCUGCCCCCGCCGCGCCCGCCGGCUGCCCGUCGUGGGGCGCGCCUCCCCCGCCCCGCGGUCACACUUCUUUCGGCCCCGGGCCGGGCGAUCCUGGGUGGGGCGGCCGCGCUCGGGGGGCGGGGGCGGGGGCGGGGGGCGGCGGAGCGCCGGGCCGGGCCGGACCGGGCCAGACGCCGCGCGCCGCCGGGGCAGCCACCUGAGCCCCCGGCCCGGGCCCAGGGCGCGGCGGGAGCCCGCGGGCUGGGGGCGGGGGCGGGGAAGGGGGCGGGGGAGGGGGAGGGGGCGGGGGGCGAGGCCACGGAGCGCGACCACGUGCGCCGCCCGCGAGUCGCGGGGUCAGAGCCCUCCACCCCCGCCCGGCCCAGAGCGCUCGAGCGCCCCGGCGCCCCGCGGUCGCCCUCGCCCUCGCCCUCGCCCUCGCGCUCGCCCUCGCCCUGUCGCCCUAACUUUUCUCCGACUUGCCUGCGAGGAGGAACCUGCCGCCCCGCCCGGCCCCGGCCGCGGGGAUCGGCGCUCGAACCCGGCCGCGGGGCCUUCCACCUUGCGCCGCCCCAGCCGGGGACCCGCGGGGGACCCGCCGGGGAGGCGCGUGAAGGAGGGGCGGGCGGGCCGGCGGCGCCCGGGCGCCGGGUCCGGGGGGACGCGAGCAGCGGAGCCGGGAGGCCGCGGACCCGACUGCGCGGCCCCGGCGACCUCAGCGCAGUGA
rnacentral:lncRNA from 1 species